rnacentral:lncRNA from 1 species
CGCUGUUUACCUUGGCUGCCCGCGUGGCAGUUUUACAGAUAUUAAAUACCGACCCGGGGGUGAGCGGGGCUCCUCGCUACGUGCGCUCGCCGGGGGCCGGCCGGGCAUCCCAACCCGGACGCCCACGCCACGGGGUCAGUAGUGCCCCUACCCCGCGCUCUAUGCAGAUGGCUUUCAGCAUUUGGUGCUGGGGGGACGCCCAGGGCAAUCCCUUCCCAGCCUGUUCGUCUCCUUAUUCCAUUUUCUGCGUAGGGCGGAGCGGCGAGGAGGGGGCCCAUAGCUGUAUGAGCCGCUCAGUUCUUGGCCUCUGUAUCCGGAAAGCGGAGGUCUCCGGCGAAGGCACCUCCUCAGCAGGGCUCCGGUGGCCGCUUCUCAAGUAGUAGAAGCGACCUCUCUCCCCAGAGACCCCUGUGGGACCGAGGAGCAUUCUGCCCGAGCCCCAGUCUUCAGCCGGCAGGCAGAAGGCUCCCUGCAGAGGCACAAGCCAUGUUGAUUUUACGGAGAAGGCUGCUAUGCACAUUUCACUGCUGAUUUAUUGUUUCUUAACUAGAUCCUUAUGCUGGGCUAAAAAAGCCAUCUUGCACUUUGCAAGGCUCUGCUGACUGCUGCCUAAAAUGACACACGGGGCUCCUCCUGCCCUUUCCCCCACCUCGUCCCACCUACCGAAAGGGCGAAGGAAAGGCGUGAGCAGGGAGCCCUCUUCUGAGGAAGGAGCCUCAGCCUGCAGCUUCCCAACCACUGACCACCUGCGGUGUGCCCUGGGGCUAAACUCCUGGAGGACAAGGACUAUGCUACCCAUCUCCUCAACUGCCUGGCGCAAGAGAGGGAGCAGAAGACAGUUUUGGUUGAAGAAUGAGCUUGAGAAUGUGGGGAAGGAGGUUUGGUUGUGGCAUAAGGUUUGGGUUUUUAAAUUAUUAUUUU